rnacentral:tRNA from 1 species
GGAGGCAUAGCUCAGCAGGGAGAGCGUUCGCUUCACACGCGAGAGGUCACAGGUUCGAGCCCUGUUGUCUCCA